CUCGUAGUUGGAUCUCGGUGCCGGUCUGGCGGUCCGCCUCGCCGCGGUCUCACUGCCAGUCCCGGAGCCAUCCCGCCGGCCUUCCCUCGGUGCUCUUUACCGAGUGUCUUGGGUGACCGGAACGUUUACUUUGAACAAAUUAAAGUGCUCCAAGCAGGCGCGUCCCGCCCGCAUAGCCCAGCAUGGAAUAAUGGAAUAGGACCUCGGUUCUAUUUUGUUGGUUUUCGGAACCCGAGGUAAUGAUUAAUAGGGACAGACGGGGGCAUUCGUAUUGC
rnacentral:rRNA from 1 species